rnacentral:rRNA from 1 species
AACGCGAAGAACCUUACCUGGGCUCGAACGGCUUCGGACAAUCCUUGGAAACAGGGACUUCCCGCAAGGGACUGGAGUCGAGGUGCUGCAUGGCUGUCGUCAGCUCGUGUCGUGAGAUGUUGGGUUAAGUCCCGCAACGAGCGCAACCCUUGUCCUGUGUUGGCAUGCCGCAAGGCGCAACUCUCAGGAGACCGCCAGCGAUAAGCUGGAGGAAGGUGGGGAUGACGUCAAGUCAUCAUGGCCUUUAUGUCCAGGGCCACACACGUGCUACAAUGGGCGGUACAAAGCGCUGCCAACCCGCGAGGGGGAGCUAAUCGCCAAAAACCGUCCUCAGUUCGGAUUGCAGGCUGCAACUCGCCUGCAUGAAGCUGGAAUCGCUAGUAAUGCUAUAUCAGAACGAUAGCGUGAAUACGUUCCCGGGCCUUGUACACACCGACUGUAC